UUAUGGCCACAUCACGUCGAAACACUGGUUCUCAUACAAUCACCAAAGUCAAGCAACAUUGAGCUUGGUCAGUAUCUAGAUGGGUGGCCACUUGGGAAUACCAGAAG